GAUGAACGCUGGCGGCGUGCUUAACACAUGCAAGUCAAACGGAAAGGCCCAAGCUUGCUUGGGUACUCGAGUGGCGAACGGGUGAGUAACACGUGGGUGAUCUGCCCUGCACUUCGGGAUAAGCCUGGGAAACUGGGUCUAAUACCGGAUAGGACCACAUUUUGGAUGGUGUGGUGGAAAGUUUUUCGGUGUGGGAUGAGCUCGCGGCCUAUCAGCUUGUUGGUGGGGUAAUGGCCUACCAAGGCGUCGACGGGUAGCCGGCCUGAGAGGGUGUACGGCCACAUUGGGACUGAGAUACGGCCCAGACUCCUACGGGAGGCAGCAGUGGGGAAUAUUGCACAAUGGGCGCAAGCCUGAUGCAGCGACGCCGCGUGGGGGAUGACGGCCUUCGGGUUGUAAACUCCUUUCGCUAGGGACGAAGCGUUAUGUGACGGUACCUGGAGAAGAAGCACCGGCUAACUACGUG
rnacentral:rRNA from 1 species